rnacentral:lncRNA from 1 species
UGAAACCAGUAUUUGUGAAGAGAGAAGAACGUAAUGGAUUUAUCAGCAGUGAAAACCGCAUUGUAAUCCAAAUCUUACGACAAAAUUGCUGAUAUCUGCGAUAAUCUAAUGCUUCAGUUUCGUUACUUUCUUUCACUCUCACUCAGGUUGCUGCCAACGGUGUUGCUUUUCACGACGAAUGGCCCUACGCUGUUCAUCUUCUGGCUCACUUCUAUGUUCAUGACACGUAAUCUAUUUUCCCUCUACUUAAUUUUAUUAUUCAAAAUGUAUACAAAUAAAUAAUGAAGAUGGAAGUGUUAUAUGCUUCAAGUUAAAUUAGUUUAAUGUUGGAUUGAUAUAUUGCUACUGUUAUAAUCUUUGUUUUAUAAUUGACAAUAGGCUGUUAGAAUUGACUUAUUUUAGUUUACCUACUUACAUUAGCAUUUGUGAGACUCGCCCGAUUGGGUUGGACUUAUUUACUUACAUAAGCCCUUGCGAGACUAUUUGGUAGAUUUAUAGAAACAACCUAUGACAUGUCUAUAAGUUGUUUUCAGUUUAUUUCCAUAAGCUCUCCGGGAUUGCUUAUGAAAUGAAAUAGCUUAUAGCUUAUAUGAAAAUAGUUUGACUUUAUUUUAUUUUAUGCUAUAGAAACAGCUAUGCAUAAGUAUUUAUAUGAGAAGCACUAAUGCUAUAGACGUUUAAUUAAGUUGUUUAUCCAAACAGGAUCAGUAUUUUGGAAGGGAUGGGGUUGGUUAUAUCUUAUGUCUUGUAACUUCUUUGAUUUUAGGUUUUCAUGUUUUCUGUUGUGAUAUUACAGCAACAGUGCUCGUUUUCUAUGGAAAACAAUACCUUCAUCAAUCAAAGAAAGCAACCCUGAAGUCAAUGCUGUGUGGAAAAUUGGUCAACAGCUUUGGUUAAGGAACUAUGGUGGAGUGCAUGAGGCGGUCCGUGGUUUUGAGUGGAGUCCAGAACUCCAAAGCUUCAUUUCUGCUUUCUCAGGCAAGCAUUUAAGAAUUUUUGAUUUUUUUAAUUUUGUUAGCAGAGCUUUGAAAGUUCUGUAGAAAGAAACUCUUUGAUCUUCACUAUAUUUUAGGCAUGAUUCUGUUCAAUUUAUCUUCACUUAAAAUAUCUUCUUAAAACUAUAGCUGUAUAAGCUGUUACCAUAGACUCCUAAUUAUCUAAACGUAGCCCUUGCUUUUAUUAUAACCCAUUAUAUCUUGUUAAUUUUGUCAGCAGACUAUAUUUUAUCAUGAAAGUAAGCCAUUUCUGUGUGGGACGAUCACUAAACCAUUGAUGUAUUGAUUAUUGAAUCUGUAGUAUUGUUGGUUGUUUACAUUACUGUAUUUAGUGUUCAAGAUAGUGGCAUGUUGCUAUGGAUGGAAACAAGUGGCUAAAAAUUGUUAUUGAUUGUUUGCACUGCUGUGUAUAGUCUUCAAGAUAGUUGCAUGUUGCUUUAGUAUGUUAUGGAUGGAAACAUUGCAAAAAGUUGAAUUGGUUUGAUCGGAAAAAAGUGUAAUAUAGUUUGAACUUGGGAAGAACAGUGAUUGAUCACUUGUUUUUGGCUGUUAUCUUCCUCUUUAAAUAUAACUCAAAAGAGUUUGAUGAAUAAUAUAAUUUCUUUGGCCAACAUGAAAUGUUGAUGAAGGUGCCAUGGAUCACAUAAAAUUUAGUAAACUAGUAAUGUACCACUCCUGCAAUAACUUCUGCAAUUGUUUUAUUAUGUUUCUUGCUUUUCAAUUUAUUUUCUAAGCAGGUUGACUGCAAAAGUCUUUUGCAUCUAUAUGUUUUUUUUUUCUUCUAAAGAAGAGUUGUACAGCACAAAAGUUAAUACAACCAAUAUGCUUUUUCCAGACCUUUACACAAAGGAGAUUUUUCACCUUCUUGUAUCUGCUUAUUCUACAAUAAGUGUUGAAGAUGUUGCUUUAUUUCUGGGAAUGAGUGAGGAUGCUGCUACAAGUUGUAAGUAGUUUUAUGUUCAUUUUUAAAUCAAACAAUGCUUGUCUAUUUGUUUUAGCACCUCUUGCAUCAUAAACAAUGUUUACGUGAUAAUUUUUUUUUACAUUAAAUAACAUCCACAAGCAAUCAAUGCAUUUAUUAUAACUUGAUUGGGGUCAACGUUAUUUCUGCAUGACUAGAUGAAGUUCAUUAAUGCCCGGCCUCUAUCCUUUCUCGACGACCCUUGGAACUGAAAAUAGUCCUUUGAAUCUUGCACUUGGAUACACAAUGUGUUCAGUGAAGACACUCAGAUACACAAUGUGUUCAGUGAAAGUGGAUUCCAAUUCUCCUUGUUAUAUUCCAUGCCACUACUGUCAAUAUAUCUACUAACUAAUUAGAUUUUUAGCUAGACUGCAGAGUAGCUAAUCAAAAUUUUAUGCUAAAAUGUGAUGAGCAAUAAGAGAAUCUUCUAAGGUUCCUCAUGUGCCACAUGAUGUAAUUAAUGAAAGUCAUCUAGAUAUAGCUGACAGUCCUGUUAGUGACAUAUAUGUUGGAUCUUUAUCAGCGUAGCUUCUGCACUCAAUCUUUAACCUCUUAAAUGGUUUAAUCUUAUAUUUGUGUCUCACUUUAUUGGGUUUGGAUUUAAGGUGUNUAGUUCUAGAUCUGGUCCAAGACGAACUGUUGUAGGAGAUUUAUUGAAAAAUUGAAUUCAACAAUUAGAGCACAAUUCAUAAUAUAUCAUUUUCACAUACUAUGAACAUGCAAUUUCAUCAACAACAAUUCAAUUAUCACCAAUUUCAUGUACUCAAACAUAUCAUCACAACAAGAGCACGAAUUUCAAUAACUAAGAACAAAAUAAUCACUUAUUCAAUUAAGCACUUAAGCAUACAAUUAAGGAAAAAUUACAACUAAUUGAUUAUGAUUGAAAUCUAACCCCCUUACCUCAAUUAGCAAUAAUCCUAGCAAAAGCUUCAAUUGAGCUCCUAUAAUCUCUAUCACUUCUUAAGUCUUCAAGCUUCUCUCCCUUCUAACCCUUUUAUCUUCUCUUGAACUUUCUCUCUCUACCUCUCUCAAAUUUCUUAUGAAAUGAAAUGAAUGAAACCUAUUUUCUCUAAAGACAAGGGUUUAUAUAGGCUCCUCUCAAAUGGGCUUAACCCUAAUACCUUAGUGGGCUUAACUCACUACUCAAUCAUAAAUUCUAAAAUAUUUCUACUCACUUAACGGUAAAAUAAUAACAGCGAUUACUUACCGACUCACAACUAAUUACCACACUAGUAACUUAGUAAAAUAAUGGUUCUCACUUGAAAAACUAAAAAUAAUCCUCACUAUGAAUUUACAAAAUUACCAUUCCAACACGUAAACCCAUAAAAAUGCACCCAAUAGAUAAUCACAAACAAGCACAUAUAAACACAUAUUAAAACAAUUAAAAUAAUUCUAGCGACAAUCGUGCUGUUACACAAUGAGUUUUAGUGAUAUUAGUUGUAUUCUUUCACAUUAACGUGUGCUCCUUCAUCACUCACCUCAGUCUAACGAGUUUCUCUAAUAUAGUUUGGUGUGCACUACAUCAAGACGACAAUGACUCAUUCUCCACACAAACACUCAUGUAUAUUUUUCUAGGAUUUCAUUUAUUAUUGUUAUUUGCACACAUUUACAAUUCGAGAUAAGAAAUGUAACACUCCGUUUUCUCAACAUAAAAAUUUCAUAACAAUUAAUCAGAGUUUUCCACAUAAACGGAAUGCUACACUUAUUAAAAAUCAUAAAUGGAAUAAAUAACAAUUUAUCCUUCAUAAUUCAAUUCAACAUAAAUAUUCAGAACUUCGCAGCGGAUUUAAUUCAACAACUAAAAUAGUCUUUGGCACGAAGGCCUCAUCAUAACAUCUCAUAAAAAUCCAAACUAAAUCAUAGUCAUGUAAAAUCAUAAGCAAUACGUAAGAAAUAGAAAAUAGCCACAAAAGUUCCCAUCUCGUUACGUAUCAGAGAACCUAAAGACACAGUGAGAUAUAGCCACUCACGACAACAAUCAACAACUACUUAUUCUCGAUCACCUGCAAGUUACUCAUACGAAGAGAAACAUUUCCAAGCAGAAGGGGUGAGAUUUCACAAUCAAUAAUAUUAAGCAUAUAAUUCAACAAUUAAAUUUAACAACAUAAACAUUAUUAAUUAAUAAUAAUAAUUCUUCAUAUAGUGCUCCAUUAAUAGUUCAAUCCACUUCUAAUCAUCAUUAACUUAUAACAAAUAUAAACAACAACAUAAUCUCAUCUUAUAAUAACAUAAGCAACAACAUAUUCAUCAUCUUAUAAUAAUAAUAUAAACACAACAUAAUCAUUAAUAUUCCAUGGUUUGUCAUCAACAACAACUUCAACGAUUCAACGACGACAACGUCAACCUGACAAUACAGCUACGUGAGAGUACACCACCUCUUAUAAUACGACAACGUAAGAGUACACCACCUCUUAUAAAACCACAACGUAAGAGUACACCACCUCUUAUAGAACAACAACAUAAGAGUACACCACCUCUUAUAAACAACAACGUAAGAGUACACAACCUCUCAUA